GGCCUCAAAUAAUGUGUGACCACCCCCUAAAUUUAAACAUAA
rnacentral:rRNA from 1 species